rnacentral:rRNA from 1 species
GACAGAGGUGGCAAGCGUUGUUCGGAAUCACUGGGCUUAAAGCGUGUGUAGGCGGUUCGUCAAGUGCCUUGUGAAAUCCCCCGGCUCAACCGGGGAAUUGCUUGGUAGACUGACGAACUUGAGGCAGGUAGGGGCGAGUGGAACUCAUGGUGGAGCGGUGGAAUGCGUAGAUAUCAUGAGGAACGCCGGAGGUGAAAACGACUCGCUGGGCCUGUCCUGACGCUGAGACACGAAAGCCAGGGGAG